CAGCCGCCGCGGUAAUACAGAGGGUGCAAGCGUUAAUCGGGUUUACUGGGCGUAAAGGGCGCGUAGGUGGUUAUUUAAGUGAGAUGUGAAAGCCCCGGGCUUAACCUGGGAACUGCAUCUUAUACUGGGUAACUGGAGUGCAGUAGAGGGUAGUGGAAUUUCCGGUGUAGCGGUGAAAUGCGUAGAUAUCGGAAGGAACACCAGUGGCGAAGGCGGCUACCUGGACUGAGACUGACACUGAGGCGCGAGAGCGUGGGGAGCAAACAGGAUUAGAUACCCCAGUAGUCCCUGUCUCUUAUAC
rnacentral:rRNA from 1 species